AGCUCUGUGGUGUAUAACACAUUAGAUUGCAAAUCUAAAGAUGCGGGUUCGCACCCACCGGAGCUU
rnacentral:tRNA from 1 species